CGCUGGCGGCGUGCUUAACACAUGCAAGUCGAACGGAGUUGAGGAGCUUGCUCCUUAACUUAGUGGCGAACGGGUGAGUAACGCGUGAGGAACCUGCCUUUCAGUGGGGGACAACAGUUGGAAACGACUGCUAAUACCGCAUAAUGUUGUCGGAUGGCAUCAUCUGGCAACCAAAGCUUUAUGUGCUGAAAGAUGGGCUCGCGUCUGAUUAGCUAGUUGGUGGGGUAAUGGCCUACCAAGGCGACGAUCAGUAGCCGGACUGAGAGGUUGAACGGCCACAUUGGGACUGAGAUACGGCCCAGACUCCUACGGGAGGCAGCAGUGGGGAAUAUUGGGCAAUGGGGGCAACCCUGACCCAGCAACGCCGCGUGAAGGAAGAAGGUCUUCGGAUUGUAAACUUCUUUUGUCAGGGACGAUAGUGACGGUACCUGACGAAUAAGCCACGGCUAACUACGUG
rnacentral:rRNA from 1 species